rnacentral:misc_RNA from 1 species
GCAAACUUGGUCAUUUAGAGGAAGUAAAAGUCGUAACAAGGUUUCCGUAGGUGAACCUGCGGAAGGAUCAUUAACGAGUUUCGUCGGGGGCGGUGCUGGCGCCCUUGGGCGCAUUUUUUCUGUGCACGCCCCCUUCAAACCCCUUCACACACCUCUGAGCACCCUUAUGAGAUCGCCGGGUGGUCUUCCUCCCUGUGGUCUGACCUUGAAUCCCACUAUGGUGAUGAGAACGUAAGAUUGUAAUGUGAAAAAGAAACAUAACUUUCAACAACGGAUCUCUUGGUUCUCGCAUCGAUGAAGAACGCAGC